CUACAUUUCACUCCCAGGGAGACAUCUCAUACACAGAGACCUUACCCAGUACGAGGCGCUAUGCGUUGAUGGCGGACAUCUACCCUAUAUGCCAUGUUGCUGAAGCAGAGCAGGGCAGGGCACACCGGUGAAAUACCAAUCAAUAUGGGAACAGGCCACAGGCGUUACGCUCUCGGACCCACAGUGGGAAAAAAAUACAUGUACUCACGCACCAGGGGAUACUCCGCUUCAAACUACAAGAACUCAACUACAAACUCCUGAUGUGCUUGUAUAGGACCCCUACCAGGCUGUAUCGCAUGGGGAUUGUACCGAAUGACCAAUGCUGGUGUUGUGAAGCUGCAGAGGGAUCAGACCUCCACAUAUGGUGGUCAUGCCCUCUAAUUGCUGCCUUCUGGCAACAGAUACAUAACAAACUCACUGAAGUCUUGUACUCAGAUAUACCUCUGCAAUACCUCCCCAUGCUAAGAUGCCGAUCGCAAAUUAUAAAAAAUCCCUCAAAAGACACUUCAUAAAUGCAGCCAAAAGCUUAAUCCCCACCAGAUGUAAAUCGAAAGACCCCACCAUCACACAAUGGACGUAAAAAGUUGAGGAGAUCUAUGCGAUGGAGUCUCACAC